GGUUAAGCGACUAAGCGUACACGGUGGAUGCCCUGGCAGUCAGAGGCGAUGAAGGGCGUGCUAAUCUGCGAUAAGCGCCGGUAAGGUGAUAUGAACCGUUAUAACCGGCGAUACCCGAAUGGGGAAACCCAGUGUGACUCGUCACACUAUCAUUAACUGAAUCCAUAGGUUAAUGAGGCGAACCGGGGGAACUGAAACAUCUAAGUACCCCGAGGAAAAGAAAUCAACCGAGAUUCCCCCAGUAGCGGCGAGCGAACGGGGAGGAGCCCAGAGCCUGAAUCAGCAUGUGUGUUAGUGGAAGCGUCUGGAAAGGCGCGCGAUACAGGGUGACAGCCCCGUACACAAAAGCGCAUGUGCUGUGAGCUCGAUGAGUAGGGCGGGACACGUGGUAUCCUGUCUGAAUAUGGGGGGACCAUCCUCCAAGGCUAAAUACUCCUGACUGACCGAUAGUGAACCAGUACCGUGAGGGAAAGGCGAAAAGAACCCCGGCGAGGGGAGUGAAAAAGAACCUGAAACCGUGUACGUACAAGCAGUGGGAGCCCCACCACCAAAGCAUUCUCUGGUGUUGAAGGCCCUGCAAAGCAGCAUCGCGGUGGCGGAGCGUCGUUUGCGACGCCCAACACACAAAACAAGCGGUGAGUGCUUUGGGGUGGGGUGACUGCGUACCUUUUGUAUAAUGGGUCAGCGACUUAUAUUCUGUAGCAAGGUUAACCGAAUAGGGGAGCCGGAGGGAAACCGAGUCUUAAUUGGGCGUUAAGUUGCAGGGUAUAGACCCGAAACCCGGUGAUCUAGCCAUGGGCAGGUUGAAGGUUGGGUAACACUAACUGGAGGACCGAACCGACUAAUGUUGAAAAAUUAGCGGAUGACCUGUGGCUGGGGGUGAAAGGCCAAUCAAACCGGGAGAUAGCUGGUUCUCCCCGAAAGCUAUUUAGGUAGCGCCUCGUGAAUUCAUCUCCGGGGGUAGAGCACUGUUUCGGCUAGGGGGCCAUCCCGGCUUACCAACCCGAUGCAAACUGCGAAUACCGGAGAAUGUUAUCACGGGAGACACACGGCGGGUGCUAACGUCCGUCGUGAAGAGGGAAACAACCCAGACCGCCAGCUAAGGUCCCAAAGUCAUGGUUAAGUGGGAAACGAUGUGGGAAGGCCCAGACAGCCAGGAUGUUGGCUUAGAAGCAGCCAUCAUUUAAAGAAAGCGUAAUAGCUCACUGGUCGAGUCGGCCUGCGCGGAAGAUGUAACGGGGCUAAACCAUGCACCGAAGCUGCGGCAGCGACGCUGAUGCGUUGUUGGGUAGGGGAGCGUUCUGUAAGCCUGUGAAGGUGUGUCGUGAGGCAUGCUGGAGGUAUCAGAAGUGCGAAUGCUGACAUAAGUAACGAUAAAGCGGGUGAAAAGCCCGCUCGCCGGAAGACCAAGGGUUCCUGUCCAACGUUAAUCGGGGCAGGGUGAGUCGACCCCUAAGGCGAGGCCGAAAGGCGUAGUCGAUGGGAAACAGGUUAAUAUUCCCGUACUUGGUGUUACUGCGAAGGGGGGACGGAGAAGGCUAUGUUGGCCGGGCGACGGUUGUCCCGGUUUAAGCGUGUAGGCUGGUUUUCCAGGCAAAUCCGGAAAAUCAAGGCUGAGGCGUGACGACGAGGCACUACGGUGCUGAAGCAACAAAUGCCCUGCUUCCAGGAAAAGCCUCUAAGCAUCAGGUAACAUCAAAUCGUACCCCAAACCGACACAGGUGGUCAGGUAGAGAAUACCAAGGCGCUUGAGAGAACUCGGGUGAAGGAACUAGGCAAAAUGGUGCCGUAACUUCGGGAGAAGGCACGCUGACACGUAGGUGAAGUGAUUUACUCAUGGAGCUGAAGUCAGUCGAAGAUACCAGCUGGCUGCAACUGUUUAUUAAAAACACAGCACUGUGCAAACACGAAAGUGGACGUAUACGGUGUGACGCCUGCCCGGUGCCGGAAGGUUAAUUGAUGGGGUCAGCGCAAGCGAAGCUCCUGAUCGAAGCCCCGGUAAACGGCGGCCGUAACUAUAACGGUCCUAAGGUAGCGAAAUUCCUUGUCGGGUAAGUUCCGACCUGCACGAAUGGCGUAAUGAUGGCCAGGCUGUCUCCACCCGAGACUCAGUGAAAUUGAACUCGCUGUGAAGAUGCAGUGUACCCGCGGCAAGACGGAAAGACCCCGUGAACCUUUACUAUAGCUUGACACUGAACAUUGAGCCUUGAUGUGUAGGAUAGGUGGGAGGCUUUGAAGUGUGGACGCCAGUCUGCAUGGAGCCGACCUUGAAAUACCACCCUUUAAUGUUUGAUGUUCUAACGUGGACCCGUAAUCCGGGUUGCGGACAGUGUCUGGUGGGUAGUUUGACUGGGGCGGUCUCCUCCUAAAGAGUAACGGAGGAGCACGAAGGUUGGCUAAUCCUGGUCGGACAUCAGGAGGUUAGUGCAAUGGCAUAAGCCAGCUUGACUGCGAGCGUGACGGCGCGAGCAGGUGCGAAAGCAGGUCAUAGUGAUCCGGUGGUUCUGAAUGGAAGGGCCAUCGCUCAACGGAUAAAAGGUACUCCGGGGAUAACAGGCUGAUACCGCCCAAGAGUUCAUAUCGACGGCGGUGUUUGGCACCUCGAUGUCGGCUCAUCACAUCCUGGGGCUGAAGUAGGUCCCAAGGGUAUGGCUGUUCGCCAUUUAAAGUGGUACGCGAGCUGGGUUUAGAACGUCGUGAGACAGUUCGGUCCCUAUCUGCCGUGGGCGCUGGAGAACUGAGGGGGGCUGCUCCUAGUACGAGAGGACCGGAGUGGACGCAUCACUGGUGUUCGGGUUGUCAUGCCAAUGGCACUGCCCGGUAGCUAAAUGCGGAAGAGAUAAGUGCUGAAAGCAUCUAAGCACGAAACUUGCCCCGAGAUGAGUUCUCCCUGAGACUUAAAGUCUCCUGAAGGAACGUUGAAGACGACGACGUUGAUAGGCCGGGUGUGUAAGCGCAGCGAUGCGUUGAGCUAACCGGUACUAAUGAACCGUGAGGCUUAACCUU
rnacentral:rRNA from 1 species